UCAAAAGUACUAUGUGAAAUCUUCGGUUUUUUCCUCUUCCUCUAUCCCAU
rnacentral:tRNA from 1 species